AAUCUCAUGGCAGCUCGCUCGAAUAAAUUCUUCCUCGCAUCUCAGUCGUAAGAGCGACGAACUUUCGUCACAUUUCGAAAGUAGAUUCUUGGUUUUGCCUCGCAGUAAAAGUUUCUUGCGGGAUUACCAGACAAGAUAUGGCCAGAGAAUAUCGAGAGGACUGGUUGUAAAAUGUUCUCGGAUAUACCCAUUUCCUAGUAGCCAAGGAAGAUCCUCGUUCCACUUACCACGGUUACUACUCUUCUUGUUACCUUUUCGCAGAUCCUCAAUCCUCCUUCUCGUCGUAGGACGAGCUGCCAUCUUUUCUACACUUUUGCUGCUCCUGUCGUCCGGCCUUUUCGACUCUCUCGGCUUACAAAUAGCGCUACGGUCGCUAUGCUGACAAUGACAUCGAUAAACGUACCCUGGAGUCUCCGAAUUUUAAGGACCCUCCGAAGACGUUUCCUUGUAUCCGGAAUCGUAUGAUCCAACUUUCUGAAAUCAGGCACUCUCUUCUCUACAUUCGUGCAAGGAACUUUUAUGGCCUGACCUACAGUAGAAAGUGGAGUGACAAGCCAGUUCCAUUAGUAUAGGAUAUUCGGAAAUUGAGAAGAACUGCCUAAAUUGUGGACCAUUAAGCAAGAGUGGGAGGGCUCAGAGGGGUGGAAAAGUGCGUGUCGCGCUUACCGGCA